rnacentral:rRNA from 1 species
UACAGAGGUGGCAAGCGUUGUUCGGAAUUACUGGGCGUAAAGGGCGCGUAGGCGGUCUUGUAAGUCUUGUGUGAAAUCCCUCGGCUUAACUGAGGAACUGCACGAGAUACUGCGAGACUUGAGAUCGGGAGAGGGAAGCGGAAUUCCGGGUGUAGCGGUGAAAUGCGUAGAUAUCCGGAGGAACACCGGUGGCGAAGGCGGAUCUCUGGGCCUUGCCUGACGCUGAGGCGCGAAAGCUAGGGGAGCGAACAGG